UCAUUAGUUUUUUAAUUGAAAGCUUGUAUGAAUGGUUUGAUGAGAAAAUAACUUUCUAUAUUUAAAUUUUUAAAAAUUUUAUUUUUAAGUUAAAAAGCUUAAAUUUUUUUAAUAGACGAGAAGACCCUAUAGAGUUUUAUUAUAUUAAUUUUUUAAAUUUUUAGAAUUUAAAAAUUUUAAUUUUUAAUAUAAUUUGGUUGGGGUGACUGAAAAAUUAAAUAAACUUUUUUUAUAUUAUUACAUAGAUUUAUGAAUAUUUGAUCCAUAAAAAUGAUUAAAAGAAUAAAUUACCUUAGGGAUAACAGCGUUAUUUUUUUUUAGAGUUCAAAUCGAAAAAAGAGAUUGCGACCUCGAUGUUGGAUUAAAGUAAAUUUUAGGUGUAGAAGCUUAAA
rnacentral:rRNA from 1 species